GGUGGUGUAGUUAAUAGCUGCAUCAUUUGACGUUAGCGACAGAAGAAGCACCGGCUAACUCCGUGCCAGCAGCCGCGGUAAUACGGAGGGUGCGAGCGUUAAUCGGAAUUACUGGGCGUAAAGCGCAUGCAGGUGGUUUGUUAAGUCAGAUGUGAAAGCCCCGGGGCUCAACCUCGGAAUAGCAUUUGAAACUGGCAGACUAGAGUACUGUAGAGGGGGUAGAAUUUCAGGUGUAACGGUGAAAUGCGUAGAGAUCUGAAGGAAUACCGGUGGCGAAGGCGGCCCCCUGGACAGAUACUGACACUCAGAUGCGAAAGCGUGGGGAGCAAACAGGAUUAGAUACCCUGGUAG
rnacentral:rRNA from 1 species